UUAUAAUAUUAAUAUUAUUUUAACACGUUCACGGACAAUUGAUGGUUGGAAAAUAUUUUGAUAUGACACCUAAAAAUCCCAUACAUUUUAUCGUUCCGCCUUGAAACGUAUUGCCGUAUCUCAACAUAUUUUAUUUACGUAAUGUGACAGUUACGGCCAUAGACGGUAUCGUCUACAAGCGGUCCGCCACAUCAUGCAUAUCCAACAAUGCGUAUAGUGACAUCUACGGCUACAGGCGGCAGCCUGCCAGUUUUUUUCAAGGACCGUUUCAUUUUCAAAUAGGUUUGGACGUUUUUCAGAUACAAAGUUCCACUUUUAGCAUGCUAUUUACAAUAAAUAAAGCUGAUAUAGUAAGAUUAAACAAAGGGGUUCAUCGACAAAA